rnacentral:rRNA from 1 species
UACGAAGGGUGCUAGCGUUGUUCGGAAUCACUGGGCGUAAAGCGCGCGUAGGCGGCUUUUUAAGUCAGGGGUGAAAUGCCACGGCUCAACCGUGGAACUGCCUUUGAAACUGAGAAGCUAGAGUGUUGGAGGGGAUGGCGGAAUUGCUAAUGUAGAGGUGAAAUUCGUAGAUAUUAGCAGGAACACCGGUGGCGAAGGCGGCCAUCUGGACAACAACUGACGCUGAGGCGCGAAAGCGUGGGGAGCAAACAGG